UACGUAGGGGGCAAGCGUUGUCCGGAUUUAUUGGGCGUAAAACGCUCGUAGGUGGCUACGUCAAGUCGGACGUGAAAUCUCCCGGCUUAACUGGGAGAGGUCGCUCGAUACUGGCGAGCUCGAGGCAGGUAGGGGGAAGCGGAAUUCCCGGUGUAGUGGUGAAAUACGUAGAGAUUGGGAAGAACACCAGUGGCGAAGGCGGCUAUCUGGACGGUUUCUGACACUAAGACUCGAAAGCGUGGGGAGCAAACAGG
rnacentral:rRNA from 1 species